GAUGAACGCUGGCGGCGUGCCUAAUACAUGCAAGUCGAGCGAACAGACGAGGAGCUUGCUCCUUCGACGUUAGCGGCGGACGGGUGAGUAACACGUAGGUAACCUACCUAUAAGACUGGGAUAACUUCGGGAAACCGGAGCUAAUACCGGAUAAUAUUUCGAACCGCAUGGUUCGAUAGUGAAAGAUGGCUUUGCUAUCACUUAUAGAUGGACCUGCGCCGUAUUAGCUAGUUGGUAAGGUAACGGCUUACCAAGGCAACGAUACGUAGCCGACCUGAGAGGGUGAUCGGCCACACUGGAACUGAGACACGGUCCAGGCUCCUACGGGAGGCAGCAGUAGGGAAUCUUCCGCAAUGGGCGAAAGCCUGACGGAGCAACGCCGCGUGAGUGAUGAAGGUCUUCGGAUCGUAAAACUCUGUUAUUAGGGAAGAACAAACGUGUAAGUAACUGUGCACGUCUUGACGGCACCUAAUCAGAAAGCCACGGCUAACUACGUG
rnacentral:rRNA from 1 species